CAAUAAUGUAUAGUAUAAUCAAGUAUUCCUUUAUUUGUUGCUUUUGGUAAACUUCACCACUAAGCUUGAUGAUUCAUUAGCUGUCCACGCCGCGACUUAGCCGACUGGAAAAUGUGCGCCGACAAUGUGACAUGAGCGUUAAAUUUGAUCAGGCGGCCAGCACACAGCUACAGCUACAGCUGGGGGCUAUAAUGGGUUAACAUUAACAUUUAACCGUCGCGUCGUUCUCGUCAAUGCAAAUUUGCACGUGUUUGUGGAAAUGGCUCGGAAAUAAUGUCGCUGUCUAUUAGGAACAUGGCGCGUUAAUGGCGCAAUCAGGGACAGCUCCACAAGAAAGAAUGCAAAAGUCCUAAGAACUAGUCUUUGUUACGUAUCUAAAUGGUGAGAAAGCGGCACGCAAGACACCACAAAAUCCAAAUCGACCGGAUUCGUUCGUUUAGGGUCAAUCAAAUUAGCUUGGAAAAUCAUUAGAGAGAGACCAAAACAAACAUAAGAAAGACUGUGGAAUGGGGAAUCGUGAAUUGGAAGUUGGGAUUCUUGAUUCGUUCAAUGAACUUGCCAAACAACCCAUCAAACGGAAAGCGAUAUUAAUAAUUGACAAUUAAAAUGAUAAUCAUAUUAAUAGUUUCAUCAAAUGGAAAUACUUGUUGAGUUCGAAUAAAUUGGUCUAUAAGUCAGUCAAAAGAAAGCUCAGCCUAUUCACAACUAGUUGGGUCAUUGACCCAAAAAAUGAAGAAUAGAAAAUGGCAACAUCCAGCUUCACAAUCACAUAUGGAAAAACCAGCUUCAGAACAACAAACAAAAUGGAAAAUAGGCAAGAUCUAGUUACUGACAUCAUUUAAAGAACUCCAACCCAGGCUCAGUCUUAGUCUCAGUCCGAGACCGAGACGUAAGUACUUGUAUUUAUGGAGAUAUUGUCGUUGGCAUUGCAAAUCUCAGCGGAGAAGCCAAGACAACCAGGAAGCGAACAAACUAAAGUUUGUGGACCGCAGACUUGAUUGCAAGCCUGCAGCUAUGUUGAAGAGUUUCCAGUUUAUAGCACACAAUAAAGAACACGAAUAGCGAAUUCCCUUGAUUGAAAAAAAAAUAGUGUGUGGCAUAUAAUUAUCGCAUUGUUUUAUUCUAUUCUUGACCAUUCUAUUUUGCUAUAUUCUCUUUAAUAAUGUUCUUCAACCUUAACUUAAUUUGUGUAA